ensembl:lncRNA
AACAAAUAAUAAAUAGUAAAUACUUUAUAUAGCCACAUAUUAAAAUAAGAAAAGCUUCCGAAGCAUCACGGCCGAGGCGAAAACAUGGGUAUUUUCUUUUAGUUCGUCCGUAAACUUACAUUUACGUUUCGGCAUGGCUGCAGAUGUGCUGUAAACAAUGCAACUAGUGGAGGCGGCAAAGUGCUCAGUGUUGCCAGAUUGGAAAUGGUGAAGUAUCGUACCAAAGGCUCAAAAUGGUCGUAUUUGGAGGAUCAUUAUCGUGUAUCUGGCAACAUUGAGAUCGGUCGACCAAUGACUGUUCUCUCUACAGUCAGAGCUCGCGAAAGAAGGUGGAACGUAAGGGAGACACCAUUUCCAAAACUUGUAAGGGCGUAAUAACUAGUUUGUGAAAGACCCAGAGAAACACAAAUAUACGACGAAGACAAAAUCCCGGACGUUUUUGGAAUCUCUGCCGGACGCAUUUUUUAGGUCUCAAAAAGAGGACAUGUCCGGGGAAAAGAGGACGUUUGGUCACCCUAAUUAAACAGUCUGAUAACUCUGUCCUCGCAGCAGCUAACGAUAGCUCACCGCUUGUGUAGCUACAGCAGCUAGCUAGCCAUCUACCUUCUAUUCGUAUUUAUUUUUCUACACAAUAGAAAAGCGAUGUGCUCUCGUGCCUCAUGCAGCUCUUCUGUGUUGCACGUCAAUACUUUGAGACAAACGAGGAGCGUCAAUCUAACGUAAAUGCUUUUCAAUAAAUGUCUUUAGUUCCUGCACAAUGAACAUGAAUCUCAAAUUAAAUGAUUAAUAUUCCCCAAAUUCCAAUUAACUACACUUCCGCUGUUACAGAGGGGAAACACUGUAAUCAUACUGUAAACUUUCAAAAGUUCAUAUAUUGUGCAUAGUUUGAAGUGACUUUUUUUUUUCUUCAAUUGUGUUUGGGUUCAGGCUCUGUUUAGGAUCGGUAUCGGAAAAACCCAAACGAUACUCAUCCCUACUCUCAUGUCUGCGCGCUCAACGUGAAGCUAAAGCCAGCCGCUGGUUAGCUUAGCAUGAAGACUGGAGACAAGAGGGCUCGAAAGGGAUGUUUAUAAAUCCAGAUUCAACAGUUUACAAAUUUCUGACUUGAUGAAACAAUGGACAAAAAUCGUUCUUUAUGUUUUCUUAAAGUGUUUGCUUUCAAGAUCAAGAUGGGGUCAUAGAAAAAAACAAGUAGAGCAAAGUGUUUUAUGCACCAUGUUAAGUGGAUGAGCUCCAUCAAUACAAAUACACCGUCCACACACACACAUUUACUCUAAAGGCUCAUUUGCAUAUUGUAGAUACCUUCACUGUAACCAUAGAGACGUUACAUCAUGAUGGAACAUUUCUCAAUGUUCCAUGUUCUAUGCUCCGUUCACCACAGCAUAAGAAACACAGUCUGUUGCACAUCCAGUCAGUCAGUUUCAAACCUCGCAUCUACACACUGAAGUUUUCCGGACCUACACUUGCAGAAAGCAACCAUGUAAUGCCUCAGGAGUCUGUAGAGGGGACGAAGACGCGUUCUGCUGCACUUAACAGAGCUCAAGACCAACAGGACGCAAUCAGGACGCCACGUCAUCGGGACGCUACGUCAACGGGACGCCAUCAGGAUGCCAUCAGGACGCCAUCAGGACGCCCUCAGGACGCCAUCAGGACGCCACGUCAACGGGACGCCAUCAGGACGUCACGUCUACCCCUCAGGAGCAAAUCCAGAUCUACGCAUGACACACACACACCUACACAGAUGUACUCUAGAGACACACUAACAUUUGGUUCUAAAAAAG